rnacentral:rRNA from 1 species
AUUGAACGCUGGCGGCAGGCCUAACACAUGCCAGUCGAGCGGAGCGGCGGACGGGUGCGUGAUGCCUAGGAAUCUGCCUGGUCGUGGGGGAUAACGUCCGGAAACGGGCGCUAAUACCGCAUACUAUCAGAUGAGCCUAGGUCGGAUUAGCUAGUUGGUGGGGUAAAGGCGUACCAAGGCGACUAUCCGUAACUGGUCUGAGAGGAUGAUCAGCCACACGGGAACUGAGACACGGUCCAGACUCCUACGGGAGGCAGCAGUGGGGAAUAGUGGACAAUGGGAGAAAGGAUGAUCCAGCCAUACCGCGUGGGUGAAGAAGGGAUGAGGGUUGUAAAGCCCUUUUGUUGGUAAAGCGGUACCCAAAGAAGAAGCACCGGCUAACUUCGUGCCAGCAGCCGCGGUAAUUC